AAGUACUUAGGGACCUAAUCCUAGUACGUUUUGUAACAGCCUUAAAACGAAGUUUCCCUUUAACAAAACCACCUUUACCCUUAAAUUUAUAUGGAACUUGAACAGUGUCUCUACCUAUGUGGGGUGGGAUUAGUACCCCCCAUGAUGCAUUUGGGAAUACAUAUGGCCCUUCUUCAAAGUUUCCAUUUUUCAAUAAAUUU
rnacentral:lncRNA from 1 species